UUAGAGGCAGCGACUACUAGUUUCUGUCAGUCUCCAAACUGUGUCAGCUUCUCAUCUCCAUAGACUUCUAUGUUAAGUGUUCUGUGUUCUGACUUCUGUUGUCCAGGCUUCUAUUUUUUUUUCCUCCUGUUGGCUACUCUGAUCCCUCUCCUGCAUUUGAUUUCUUCAAUCAUUGACUCCUAAUCUCCUGACUUCUCUUUCUUGAGAUUAUGUGUGGCAACUCAUCUCAUCAGUAAAAACAAACAUGAAGACCUAAAAAAGGAACCAAUCUGAAAACAAGUUGUGACAAUAUGUGUUACAGGGCUCAGACUGUGUCAUCCAGAUUAUAUGUAAAUUGGCAUUUCAAUGUCUUCAGACCCCUUUGCCCAGCUACAGGGAAAUCAGUCCAAACACACCCCAAUACAAAGUUACAUAUUAUAUCUCUGAAAAAAAUGUUGUCAUUACUGUAUCUAAAAUUAUGAAUUUACACAAUGAUAAAGACUUUACUGAAU